rnacentral:rRNA from 1 species
GACGAACGCUGGCGGCGUGCUUAACACAUGCAAGUCGAACGGUAAGGCCCUGCUUUUGUGGGGGGCUCGUGUGGCGAACGUGUGUGUAACACGUGAGUAACCUGCCCUUGACUUUGGUAUAACUUCAGGAAUCUGUGUCUAAUAGCGGAUAGGAGCUCCCCGUGCAUUGUGGGUUGGGGAGAUUUUUGGCGGUUGGGGAUGGACUCGCGGCUUAUCAGCUUGUUGGUGGGGUAAUGGCUUACCAAGGCUUUGACGGGUAGCCGGCCUGAGAGGGUGACCGGCCACAUUGGGACUGAGAUACGGCCCAGACUCCUACGGGAGGCAGCAGUGGGGAAUAUUGCACAAUGGGCGGAAGCCUGAUGCAGCAACGCCGCGUGAGGGAUGACGGCCUUCGGGUUGUAAACCGCUUUCGCCAGUGAAGAAGCGUGAGUGACGGUAAUGGGUAAAGAAGCACCGGCUAACUACGUG